UACGGAGGGAGCUAGCGUUGUUCGGAAUUACUGGGCGUAAAGCGCGCGUAGGCGGCUUUGCAAGUCGGGUGUGGAAUCCCCAGGCUUAACCUGGGAACUGCAUUCGAGACUGCAUUGCUAGAGUAUGGGAGAGGGAAGUGGAAUUUCCGGUGUAGCGGUGAAAUGCGUAGAUAUCGGAAGGAACAUCAGUGGCGAAAGCGACUUCCUGGACCAAUACUGACGCUCAUGUGCGAAAGCGUGGGGAGCAAACAGG
rnacentral:rRNA from 1 species